GACGAACGCUGGCGGCGUGCUUAACACAUGCAAGUCGAGCGGAAAGGCCCUUUCGGGGGUACUCGAGCGGCGAACGGGUGAGUAACACGUGAGUAAUCUGCCCUUCACUUGGGGAUAACCUCCGGAAACGGUGGCUAAUACCCGAUACGACCAUUCCUCGCAUGAGGUGGUGGUGGAAAGUUUUUCGGUGGGGGAUGUGCUCGCGGCCUAUCAGCUUGUUGGUGGGGUAAUGGCCUACCAAGGCUUCGACGGGUAGCCGGCCUGAGAGGGUGACCGGCCAAACUGGGACUGAGAAACGGCCAGGACUCCUACGGGAGGAAGAAGUGGGGAAAAUUGGAAAAUGGGCGGAAGCCUGAGCCAGCAACGCGGCGUGAGGGAUGACGGCCUUCGGGUUUUAAACCUCUUUCACCUGUGACGAAGUGAAAGUGACGGUAGCAGGAUAAGAAGCACCGGCCAACUACGUG
rnacentral:rRNA from 1 species